CCGUAACUAUAACGGUCCUAAGGUAGCGAAAUUCCUUGUCGGGUAAGUUCCGACCCGCACGAAAGGCGUAAUGAUUUGAGCGCUGUCUCGACAAUGCAUCCGGUGAAAUUGAAGUACCAGUGAAGAUGCUGGUUACCUGCGCCAGGACGGAAAGACCCCAUGGAGCUUUACUCCAGUCUGGUACUGGGACUCGGUAUUGCAUGUACAGGAUAGGUGGGAGGCUAGGAGAUGGUAACGCCAGUUGCCAUGGAGCCGCUGUUGGGAUACCACCCUUGCAGUAUUGGGUUUCUAACCAGCCGCCGUGACCCGGCGGUGGGACAAUGCCAGACGGGGAGUUUGACUGGGGCGGUCGCCUCCGAAAGGGUAUCGGAGGCGCCCAAAGGUUCCCUCAGAAUGGACGGAAACCAUUCGAAGAGUGCAAAGGCAGAAGGGAGCUUGACUGCGACACCGACGGGUGGAGCAGGUACGAAAGUAGGGCUUAGUGAUCCGGUGGUAUUAAGUGGGAAUGCCAUCGCUCAACGGAUAAAAGCUACCCUGGGGAUAACAGGCUUAUCACUCCCAAGAGUUCACAUCGACGGAGUGGUUUGGCACCUCGAUGUCGGCUCAUCGCAUCCUGGGGCUGUAGUAGGUCCCAAGGGUUGGGCUGUUCGCCCAUUAAAGCGGUACGCGAGCUGGGUUCAGAACGUCGUGAGACAGUUCGGUCCCUAUCCGGCGUGGGCGUAGGAUAUCUGAGAGGAGCUGUCCUUAGUACGAGAGGACCGGGAUGGACGGGCCGCUGGUGCAUCGGUUAGACUGCCAAGUCUACGGCCGAGUAGCCAAGCCCGGAAGGGAUAAACGCUGAAGGCAUCUAAGCGUGAAGCCCCCCUUAAGAUGAGAUAUCCCAUUCGAAAGAAGUAAACCCCCUUGAAGACGACGAGGUAGAUAGGGCAGAGGUGGAAGUGUGGCAACACAUGGAGCUGACUGUUACUAAUCGGGUGAGGGCUUGACCAA
rnacentral:rRNA from 1 species